rnacentral:rRNA from 1 species
GACGAACGCUGGCGGCGUGCCUAAUACAUGCAAGUCGAGCGCAGGAAGCUGACGGAACUCUUCGGAGGGAAGGCAGUGGAAUGAGCGGCGGACGGGUGAGUAACACGUAAGGAACCUGCCUCAAGGAUUGGGAUAACUCCGAGAAAUCGGAGCUAAUACCGGAUAGUUCAACGGACCGCAUGGUCCGCUGAUGAAAGGCGCUUCGGCGUCACCUUGAGAUGGCCUUGCGGUGCAUUAGCUAGUUGGUGGGGUAACGGCUCACCAAGGCGACGAUGGAGAGCCGACCUGAGAGGGUGAUCGGCCACACAGGGACUGAGACACGGCCCAGACUCCUACGGGAGGCAGCAGUAGGGAAUCUUCCACAAUGGACGAAAGUCUGAUGGAGCAACGCCGCGUGAGUGAUGAAGGUUUUCGGAUCGUAAAACUCUGUUGUAAGGGAAGAACACGUACGAGAGGAAAUGCUCGUACCUUGACGGUACCUUACGAGAAAGCCACGGCUAACUACGUGCCAGCCGCCGCGGUAACAC